UGCAGUGACUGGUACUUUGUUCCUUCCCCAGCCUGAGGUCUGUUAGGGCAGUACCACUGCAACUGCAGAGACAAGCGUUUGCAGGUUCACUCUGGGAUUUCCUCUUCGAAGAAAUGCGGGGGUGCCUCUGAUUGAAGUGGUCAGGAGGAAACAGGGUGGUCGUGCUGGAGUCCCAGGUCGGGCAACCCUACGCAGUGAGGACUGGGACUUGUGGGGAACAGUCUGGCCGCUUUUCUAAGGGCAGCCGUGCUGUGCUGGGCGUCCACUCCAGUUACUGACUGAUCACCUUGCACUCUCUAAAGCCUGAAGGCAACAAGGACUGAGGCUGUGAAACAGCAAAGAUGGCCGCCUACCCCUUCCUCUGAGAGCUCCCUCUCAGGGAUGUGUAAUGCUGCUACCAGUAGCUGGCUAGAGUUCCAAGCCAGUGGGUCUUAUCCUGUGACCUCUGAAGUGCUAUGGAAGUGAGGCCUGCAGAUCAUCGCUGCUCAGCCCCCUGGAUUCAGCCCCUUUCAUAGGAACGAAGUUUCACUCUUGUUGCCCAGGCUGGAGUGCAGUGGCGCCAUCUCAGCUCACUGUAACCUCUGCCUCCCGCAUUCAAGCAAUUCUCCUGCCUCAGCCUCCUGAGUAGCUGGGAUUACAGGCGCCCACCACCACGUCUGGCUAAUUUUUGUAUAUUUAGUAGAGAUGGGGUUUCACCACGUUGACCAGGCUGGUCUUGAACUUCUGACCUCAGGUGAUCCACACACCUCAGCCUCUCAGUGUGCUGGGAUUACAGGCAUGAGCCACCGCACCCGGCCCAACAUGUCUGUAUUCUUAAAGCUAUAGAGGUGUCUUUGCUAUUUUGUUCUCUUAGGAGCAAGAGGACAUGUGUAUUGGUGAGAGAAGAGAGAGAGUUCAUAAACCAGGAUCUUCUUCAGCCUCCAAGGAAAAGUUGAGAGUCAGCAGAAGAUUCUUGCCAGGUUGAGUCCAGCCACUAGCGUCUCUCUCUCCGAAUCUUAGCCUGUCACCCCCUCACGACUCCUCCAAUGGCCCCUCCACUUCUACCCGGCUCGACAUGUCCAUGACCACCAUCGAGGCUGAGGAUUCCCCUCCCCCCCGACAUUUGUAAUUCUUAACAGUGUAGCAUAUUUACAAAGAUUGGAAAGACAUUUAAUAAAAUGUUAAUGAUAAGA